ensembl:snoRNA
CCUACCCCUUGAGGUGUUGCCUGUGUGGAUGCUAUGUCACACGUGCAUCAUUAAGUGGCAGAGAGGAGAGGGCUGUGUCUA